ensembl:lncRNA
GUGGUCCAGUUACUCUCUGUGUGGUUUCUGAACAUGUCCUACACACUUUGGAGAAGGAAAUGGCAACCCACCCCGGUAUUCUUACCUGGAUUCCAUGGACAGAGGAGCCUGGUGGGCUACAGUCCAUGGGGUCACAUAGAGUCGGACACGACUGAGUGACUAACACUACACACUUGGCUGUUCAGUUAAAAGGGCUUGGAGCUGGACUAUGUAGGCUUGAAUGAAGCUUCCUUACGGAGAUGACCUUGAACAAGUUACUCUCUGUGCCUCAACUUCUCCAUUUGUUUAGAGGACCGUACGGGAUGAAGCAGGUAGGGCACUCAGACCAGAGCCUGACCUCUGGUGCUGUGGCCCCCACCUCCACAUCAGUCUUGGUGAAGCCCUCUUGAUGUGAAGAGUCGAUGAGCACAGUUGAGUAAGAGGACCCGGAAGAAGACACUGGCUUGGGUGGCAAAGACAGAAACAGAUCUCCGGGAGGAAGGAAAUGAAGAGAUCUCCUGCCUCCUCACCCAUCCAGCAGACUGCUCCCAGGUGGAGAAAGGAAGCCGGGCACCUGCCGAGGUGACACAGACACCAAGGCUGGCGCUAGACUCCCUUGUCCGGGACGCUCCUCUCCCCCCGGGAGCAGCAGCAGAGGUGGGAAAGAGGUGCUGGACAGUUGGUAAGUGGCAGCAGCUGGACUCCACAUUCCCCUUGGACCUGCCCUCUUCCAAGCCAGUCUUAGCUUAGCAGCAGGGAAGGCUUAGAUCCUGCUUGGAGUCAGUGAGACCUUAGGCCCCACAUCAACCUCACUGUCCCACCUGGAGGUGUGGUAGGUGCUUAGGGGAGGUAUCAUGGAGGUGAGGGGAAGGUAGCAACAUUUUUAUUUGCUUUAAAUAAGCUUCUGAGUCACAAUGCACUUUAAAAGGGAGUUCUAUGGCUAAAAGGGUCUGAAAACCCCUGGAUCAAACCUUCUUCCUUAGGGUCCUUCCCAUGGCUGGCAUCCAGUGGAUUUUUCCUUCCUCCUGGGGAAGGUAUAGAGAUC